UUUAGAGGAAGUAAAAGUCAUAACAAGGUUUCUGUAGGUGAACCUGCAGAAGGAUCAUUAGUGAAUUUUGUAUGGGUUUUCCACUCUGUGGUAACCCUCACUACAAUACACCAACAUCCAUAUACACCUGUGCACCGUUGGCUAGAUGUGGCUCACUUGUGAGUCUUCGUCUGCUGACAACAAUUUAUAAACUCUGAGUUAUAAUGAAUGUUAAUUGUAUCUUGCCAUUUGGCAGAAACUAAAUACAACUUUCGACAACGGAUCUCUUGGUUCUCCCAUCGAUGAAGAACGCAGCGAAUUGCGAUAAGUAAUGUGAAUUGCAGAAUUCAGUGAAUCAUCGAAUCUUUGAACGCACCUUGCGCUCCCUGGUAUUCCUAGGAGCAUGCCUGUUUGAGUGUCAUGAAUCCCUCAAAUCCCAAUGUUUUUUAAAAAGAAGCAUUGCUUGGAUUUGGUUGUGGGCCCUUGCAGUCUUUCACGAGUCUGCUGGCCUUAAAGAUAUUAGCUGGACCUCUCUAAUCUCUUAGCAGAGUACUUCCAUUUGAUGUAAUAAAAUUGCAUUGGUGGAAGCUCUAUUAAGUACCUAGAGCAAGUCUGCUUCUUAACCCGGCGCGAGUGGCAACACUCAACCCACUAUUUCAUAACUCUGGCCUCAAAUCAGGUAGGACUACCCGCUGAACUUAAGCAUAUU
rnacentral:rRNA from 1 species